UACGUAGGGGGCAAGCGUUGUCCGGAUUUACUGGGCGUAAAGGGCGCGUAGGCGGCGCAACAAGUCACUUGUGAAAUCUCCGGGCUUAACCCGGAGCGGUCAAGUGAUACUGUCGUGCUAGAGUGCGGAAGGGGCUACUGGAAUUCUCGGUAUAGCGGUGAAAUGCGUAGAUAUCGAGAGGAACACCUGCGGCGAAGGCGGGUAGCUGGGCCGACACUGACGCUGAUGCGCGAAAGCCAGGGGAGCGAACGGG
rnacentral:rRNA from 1 species